UCUGCCGUCGCGGUGUUGCACUGAAUCUCCACCACCUUCACUCCAAAACCCUAAACCUCUCCGGCGAGUGGGGUUCGUUGAAAAGAAUAACAAUGAAGGCGGAGAGAUCUUCGUUGUGCAACUUUGUUUUCAACUUCCUCUUGGAAGAGAACUACCUCUUGACGGCGUUUGAGCUCCUAGAUGAUGGCCGCGGCGCUCAGGCCAUUCGCCUUAAAGAGUUCUUCUCCGAUCCCCUCCCGAUCAGAUAUCUCGGUAUAAUUCAUUUCGAGGGCUGCUUACAUUUACAUAUGUCCGCUCUGCUUCUGGCUUUGUCGGAAUCAUUCUCGUCGGUGAAUUCGUGAAUUUGAACAUUGCUUAGUUUUCUUUAUUGCCUAAUCUUGAAAACAAACUGACCGGAAAAUACUUCUGCUCCUGUGGGAAUGCAUAUUCAUACUAGCACGACACCGGAAAGUUUUGGUUCUUCAACUCAGAAUGCUCGAGAAUAUCGGUCUAUGACUCAAAAUAAGGACAGUUCAUGGGGAUGCAUUGAUAGAUUCCAUCAAGAACGGUACUUUUGAUAUAAAACAUUUGUUGGGUUAGGACCAAGAGCAUGCGUGGUUUGGUGGUUCCCCAAGCAAGCAAGAAGUGCAUUCGAAGAACAACAUGGCAUGAAAUUCAACAUUUUGUUGGAAGGAAAUGGUGGUUAGCCCUGAUGCAGAAUCCAAAAUCAAUGCGGCAAAGUUGUUGAAGACUAUUAAUAAGGCGCCAUGUAUCGACUAGAAAGUUGCUACGACACUCUUGGCUCGGACCAGAACCUGAAUGUGAAGUAUGCAAGCAUCGAUGCAUUUGGAGUCGUUGCUCAUCACAUCAUGAUUAGUUGAUAAAACAAGGGUCCGGAUGGAUGCUUUUCUCGAAGAUGGGUUCUCUUGAAGCAGACUAUCGCUGUGGUUCGUUCACUAUUGGUUGCUAUUCGGCGUACAACUGAACAGCUUAGAGAUUAUAUCCUGAAACCCCGUCUUCUAUAAUUUCUUUUCUAAGUCAUUUACGAAAUCAUUCACAUCAUAUUCGAAUCUCUUCCUUUAACUUUGUUGUGACACAUCUUUCGUCCAGCCCCCCAUCUCUUUGGAGAUGUCAGUAAGCAGAGUGGUGAUGGAUUGCCUUCCAGAGUUUCCUGGGAGGAGGUGCCUUGUUGGCCAAGAAAGACAAAGAUACGGCCGAAGCAGUGACCACCAUGGGCCUCAGGCGCAGGUUCAGGCGCGUAUUCAUGAGGGGUUAGUUGUCUGAGAUUCUCCGUGCCAGAGUCAAAUAACCCCUGAUGAUCAGGUGAUAUACCAAAAUUACCCAUCUGCUGUUUCUUUUUAUGCUCCAAAAUUAAUGAUUCGUUUCUUCUUUCCAAAUGAGUUUCUGGGGAUACUUCACAAAGGGUGUGUUUUACUUCCCCAAAUUGGGUUUAUAGUUGGAGCCUUUUGUUUUGAAAAAAAAAAUUAUUGGAGUUUUAUUGUCUAUUAAAGUAAAUAUGUAAAAUUAAAAUGCCCGACCAUGUUAUUCAUUCCAAAACUAAACCCUUUGGGUCUGGACAAGGGUUAACACUCCCAACGUUGCUUUGGCCUCUUUGUUGUC